rnacentral:tRNA from 1 species
AAGGGAGACCUAAUUCCGGUAGGAGACGAAAAAAAAGUAGUCCCAACCAAGAAUCAAUCCCAAAAGGUCGGAACGAGGUAUGAGGCUUUCAAACUAGGUUCUGGGUUCAUAAAAGACCUGAAUCAGGAACAAGGGCUAUUAGCUCAGGUGGUUAGAGCGCACCCCUGAUAGGGGUGAGGUCCCUGGUUCGAGUCCAGGAUGGCCCACCUGCACAGGUGGCAAAAACAAGAGAAGCUCCGAAUCAGCACCUUAUCUUAUAUACAUAUAUAAGAGAGAAUGCUGGCUCUGAGUACAGAGUCCAGAGGAACCUUGAAAACUGCAUAGAGCUAGGUGAAAAAGCCAAAAAAGAAGACCGCAA